rnacentral:rRNA from 1 species
GACGAACGCUGGCGGCGUGCCUAACACAUGCAAGUCGAGCGAAUGAAGUUCCUUCGGGAACGGAUUUAGCGGCGGACGGGUGAGUAACACGUGGGCAACCUGCCUCAUAGAGGGGAAUAGCCUUCCGAAAGGGAGAUUAAUACCGCAUAAGAUUGUAGUACCGCAUGGUACAGCAAUCAAAGGAGCAAUCCGCUAUGAGAUGGGCCCGCGGCGCAUUAGCUAGUUGGUGAGGUAACGGCUCACCAAGGCGACGAUGCGUAGCCGACCUGAGAGGGUGAUCGGCCACAUUGGGACUGAGACACGGCCCAGACUCCUACGGGAGGCAGCAGUGGGGAAUAUUGCACAAUGGGGGAAACCCUGAUGCAGCAACGCCGCGUGAGUGAUGACGGCCUUCGGGUUGUAAAGCUCUGUCUUCAGGGACGAUAAUGACGGUACCUGAGGAGGAAGCCACGGCUAACUACGUG